UGUAGAGAAAACCAGUCAUCUCGUGGCCAAGAAGCAAAAAGGAAAGGGCUCUUGUGAUCUUCAAAGGCCUGCUCCCAAAUGACCUGAAGACCUACUGCCAGGCCCCACCUCCCGAAGACCCUGCCAGUUUCCUGUAACACCCCAGGCUGGAGCUCAUCUCCAAUGUCUCCAACACGAGGGCCUUCAGGGGACACUUAAGAUCCAAACUAUAGAAUCUGUUUUGUAACAACGCUGAGGGACUCACUAGUGAAGACGCCAGGAAAUCCUGCCCAGUGUUGAACCCUUACAGGAGCCAGACCAGGAGCACAGCCCGUGAGUGGCACACAGCUCUGGAGGAGAGAGGUAUUUAUACCCAUGGCUGCCCUAGGUUUCCAUACUGAGCUACUCUUCAACAUUUUGAGUUCUUGAAGAAUGUCUCGUAUGCAGGGCCAGAUGCUAACCCAACGUCUCAACCUGCUUCAGGUCCAGAGACCACUCCCAGAUGUGUCCUAGGUGACCGCAAUGUCAUACAAAGCUCUGCAUUGGCUUUAUGUGUCCCAUCAUGUAGCAA
rnacentral:lncRNA from 1 species